rnacentral:lncRNA from 1 species
UCACAGUCAAGGGAAAUGUAAAUGAGAAUAAAGAUGCAGUAUUAGGCCGAGAGUGGUGGCUCACACCUGUAAUCCCAGCACUUUGGGAGUACGAGGAGGUAGAUCACCUGAGGUCAGGAGUUCAAGACCAGCCUGGCCAACAUGUUGAAACCCCGUCUGUACUAAAAAUACAAAAAGUAGCCAGACGUGUAAAAGUUUUGAGUGAAUCAAAAGUCAAAAAAGUAGCUGGGUGUAGUGGCAUGGUACAGGUGCUAGACUACCAUGCUCAACUACUUGGAAGACUGUGGCAGGAGGAUUGCUUGAGCCCAGGAGUUCGAGACCAGCCUGGGCAACAUAGCAAGACUUUUUUUUUUUUUUUUUUUUUUUUGCGACAGAGUUUUGCACUUGUUGCCCAGGCUGGAGUGCAAUGGCGUGAUCUCCGCUCACUGCAACCUCCACUCCCGCGUUCAAGCGAUUCUCCUGUCUCAGCCUCCCAAAUAGCUGGGAUUAUAGGCAUGCACCAACACGCUCAGCUUUUUGUAUUUUUAGUAGAGACAGGGUUUCACAAUGUUGGCCAGAAUGGUCUCGAUCUCUUGACCUUGUGAUCCACCUGCCUUGGCCUCCCAAAGUGCUGGGAUUACAGGCAUGAGCCACCGAGCCUGGCCAAGACUCUUUAACAAAAGAAACUUAUGUGUUUAUUUUCAACUGAGCAGGGGUCAGUGCCCCUAACCUCCAUGUUAUUCAAGGGUCAGUUGUAUUUUCCAAGGGAUUUACAUAUUUAUUUACUUAUUUAUUUAUUUAUUUAUUUUUGAGACAGAGUCUCAAUCUGUCGCCCAGGCUGGAGUGCAGUGGUGCGAUCUCGGCUCACUGCAACCUCCACCUCCCGGGUUCAAGUGAUUCUCCUGCGUCAGCCUCCCGAGUAGCUGGGAUUACAGGCACGCGCCACCACACCUGGCUAAUUUUUGUAUUGUAGUAGAGACAGGGUUUUGCCAUUUUGGCCAGGCUGCUCUCAAACUCCUGACCUCAAGUGGUCCACCCACCUCGGCUUCCCAAAGUGCUGGGAUUACAGGCAUGAACCGCCAAGUCCGGCUGGGGUUUACAUUUAGCUCAAAGAAAAUCUGUGCCCUUGCUCCCCAUACCUUCACCCCGUUGAUAAAAGCACAGUUGGCUUCCAACACUGCCCUCUUUUCUCUGUGGCCACAGGCAGCUGUGAUCCCAGCCACUCACCAUUGUGUUUCAAGGUGUUACAGGCUCAACAAAAUAUAUGGCUAUAUAUUGGUGAUUUUGCCUCAACAACAUAUAUUGUCCCUCAACAAGAUAUAUUGAAGUCCUAACUCCCAGCACCCCAGAAUGUGACUAGAUUUGGAAAUAGGAUCUUUAC